rnacentral:rRNA from 1 species
GAUGCAGGCUGUUCAUAUAUCUAAAUCAUAUGUGAAGAAAGGGCAGGGCAAGACCGGUGCCAGCCGCCGCGGUAAUACCGGCUGCUCGAGUGAUGGCCACUAUUACUGGGUUUAAAGCGUCCGUAGCUUGACUGUUAGGUCUCUUGGGUAAUCUUCGCGCUCAACGUGAAGGUGUCUAAGAGAUACCGGCAGUCUUGGAACUGGGAGAGGUAAACCGUACUUCGGGGGUAGGAGUGAAAUCUUGUAAUCCUCGAGGGACGACCUAUGGCGAAGGCAGUUUACCAGAACAGCUUCGACAGUGAGGGACGAAAGCUGGGGGAGCAAACGGGAUUAGAUACCCCGGUAGUCCCAGCCGUAAACAAUGUGCGUUAGGUGUGUCGGUAACCACGUGUUACUGAUGCGCCGAAGAGAAAUCGUGAAACGCACCACCUGGGAAGUACGGUCGCAAGGCUGAAACUUUAAGGAAUUGGCGGGGGAGCACCACAACAGGUGGAGCCUGCGGUUUAAUUGG